rnacentral:rRNA from 1 species
CAGUAGCCGCGGGAACACGUAGGGUGCGAGCGUUAAUCGGAAUUACUGGGCGUAAAGCGUGCGCAGGCGGUUGUGUAAGACAGGUGUGAAAUCCCCGGGCUUAACCUGGGAACUGCGCUUGUGACUGCACAGCUAGAGUAUGGCAGAGGGGGGUGGAAUUCCACGUGUAGCAGUGAAAUGCGUAGAGAUGUGGAGGAACACCGAUGGCGAAGGCAGCCCCCUGGGCCAAUACUGACGCUCAUGCACGAAAGCUAGGGGAGCAAAUGGGAUUAGAUACCCGGGUAGUCCCUGUCUCUUAUAC